UGGCUGUAGCACUAUAGGACGUCCACGCUUCACGGCUGUGGCUACCGAUCUGCGAAUUUCUCGCUUUCGCGUCAGAGUUCACGUCUUCGCACAGAUUUCGAGUGGACGCCACAGCCGAAGGCUCGUGAGAAUUCCGGUUGGGCAGGCAAAAGAAGGUUGCAACGGAUACUUCCAGGCAGCAGGUGAUCACGUGAUGAAGACAUCCCACAUCCUACUAAACAGAAUCUACGAAAGAACAGCUGAGUACUUUCGUGACUCUCAUCUGCAUCGAACGCCUUUAUCUCGUAGACAACUUCCAGGGCUAGCUUCAUGGCAAUGAACUCGUUCAAGUGGGUGUCGGACGUAUUGUCAUUCCCAAGCACUGCACUGAUGGUAGACCUGUAGCACUCCAGGACAGGGGAAUCUUCUUCCUCGGGUGGAAAUGUUGCCAGGUUUUCCAAGCCCGCUUGAACGAACCCUUCCGCCAACAGACUGCCCACAGUAGCGUAGUUCAGCCACUUGCCUUCGUCGGCGUAAAACGCACUCGGACGCAAGACGGGUGUGGACGCUACCACCACGUUGUCCCGCCGCACAUAUCCCACAUUUCCAGCAAACUGCCAUUGGGAUAACGGUAAGGUGGUGUCUUUGACGCCACUCCUGCGCAGCUCUGCUUGAGCCUUCAGCAAGAGAACAACGUUCCUCACGAAGGAAGGACCCAAAAAAUUGACGAGUAAGCAUACUACUAGGACUGCCACGGCGGCGACAAGCAGCAUAACGUCUGUGCCAAUUUUGACUCUUCUGUGGUGACGACGCCUCAGGAGGUCUUCUUUUCGCCCCUGCAAUACUGCAAAAGCGAACUUGUGAGACCGUGCUAUGUGGUGAAGUUCUCAAGCUCUGGAAUGAGGCCAACAACAGCAAGUCUGAGUCAUCACCCCCCCCCCCCCCGCCUCCUGUUUAAGGUUUUUUUUCCUUUGUGCAAUGCUCACGAACUCGCCUUCUUAAAAAAAACGACAAUAAAACCUGAGACAUGGAACAGAAAAAGACAACACGGCACGUUCUCAAU